AUUGAACGCUGGCGGCAUGCUUUACACAUGCAAGUCGAACGGUAACAGGGUGCUUGCACCGCUGACGAGUGGCGAACGGGUGAGUAAUACAUCGGAAUGUACCCAGUAAUGGGGGAUAACGCUUCGAAAGGAGUGCUAAUACCGCAUACGCCCUGAGGGGGAAAGUGGGGGACCGCAAGGCCUCACGUUAUUGGAGCAGCCGAUGUCUGAUUAGCUAGUUGGUGAGGUAAAGGCUCACCAAGGCGACGAUCAGUAGCGGGUCUUAGAGGACGGUCCGCCACACUGGAACUGAGACACGGUCCAGACUCCUACGGGUGGCAUCAGUGGGGAAUCUUGGACAAUGGGCGAAAGCCUGAUCCAGCAAUGCCGCGUGCGUGAAGAAGGCCUUCGGGUUGUAAAGCGCUUUUGUCUGGGAGCAAAUCCUGGCCUCUAAUACAGGUCGGAGAUGAGAGUACCAGAAGAAUAAGGACCGGCUAACUACGUGCCAGCCGCCGCGGUAACAC
rnacentral:rRNA from 1 species